rnacentral:lncRNA from 1 species
UCGAGAAGAAUUAGGUUUAACCAUAUGCUAGCAUGGUUCUCUUAAAUCUAAUAGAAUUUCAAUAAAUCCUAACCCAAUUAAAACUUCAUAAGCUCAAUUGACAAAUUCAAGAUUAAAUCUCUCAAGGUGUGACCCCAUAGGUUUCAUUCUAUCUAAUAGUGGAUAUAUUGUGAUCUCCAUCACAAUAUCAUCGAAACUCUUUUUGAUGGGUUGGAAUAAUUCCAACUCUAUCCUUCAAGGGUCAUCGAU